ACAAAGGCUUUGAAAGAGGAGAGUAACUGGAACGAAACCAACAGGGAGGCCUGGGGCUACGACUGAGACCCCGCCAGGCAGAAAUCCAGUGAAGUUCCCUCUGGAGUUGUCCGCGUGAAUGUGAAAUACACUAGUAGCGCGGAACGCAACCCAAGCGUUAGCCUGGGGACCGAUCGCCAUUCUGCUGUCGGAUGAAGAGGGUCGCGUGAGCGACCAACAAGGGUGGUACCGCGGGAAACGCCUCCCGUCCCUUGA
rfam:Chloroflexi bacterium RBG_19FT_COMBO_49_13 rbg_19ft_combo_scaffold_41, whole genome shotgun sequence.